rnacentral:misc_RNA from 1 species
CACUUUCGACAAUGGAUCUCUUGGUUCUGGCAUCGAUGAAGAACGCAGCGAACUGCGAUAAGUAAUGUGAAUUGCAGAAUUCAGUGAAUCAUCGAAUCUUUGAACGCACAUUGCGCCCCUUGGUAUUCCGGGGGGCAUGCCUGUUCGAGCGUCACUUCAACCCUCAAGCUCUGCUUGGUGUUGGGCCCUGCCGGCGAUGGCAGGCCUUAAAACCAGUGGCGGCGCCGCUGGGCCCUGAGCGUAGUAAUACUCCUCGCUACUGGGCCCCAGCGGAUGCCUGCCAGCAAUCCCAACUUUCUAUGGUUGACCUCGGAUCAGGUAGGGAUACCCGCUGAACUUAAGCAUAUCAAUAAGCGGAGGCU